CGCAGAAGCGGCUGCGGCGACGUUCGUCGGGGCGGGGCCUUUGCCCCGGGGUGGUGAGGGGGCCGGGGGCCGAGGCCGCCCCUCAGCGGGAGCGUGUGUGUGUGUCCCGUCCCCCCCCCCCGCCAGGAGCGGCUGCAGCCGGCGGCUCGCGGUCGAGAACUCAAACGAUCCCCGGGUGGGCCAAGUAAACUGCUCCAGGUUGUAAGAGCAAGUGAGUUCAUCGCUGCUGCAGAGGAGCUCCGACUGGUUAACGCUUACCAUCAGUCAGCAGCUUUCCCAGGAAAAAGUGUAGGUUUUGUUUGGCUUAUUAAAAGUGGAAGAAGCCAAUGUCUGUCCCUCCAGCUGGAGACGCUCAAGUCAGGAACUGUUGUCAGGAAAUGGGGGAGGAGGAGGCAGCACACAUUUACGAACGCAGAGUUUGGUGAAAAUUUUGAUUUUGUUUAUAGAGAGAGCAAAAAUAAACAGGAAAACUGCUCCAGUCUUUUUGCUUUUGCAUACUUACAGUACAAACAGCAGUACAGAUACUCAUUAAUUAAUGUGUUACACUUGCAUGUUUAUUGUGACCAGUCAUCUUUAAGAGGUUGAAUGUCAUGAGGUUAAAUUGAAAAUAGACAAUUACUUAGUUUGUGGCAAAGACUGUGGCUAGGUAAGUAUAUAUAGCUGCUGUUGGCUUCUGUAUACCCCCCAUAUACGGUGUAUAAUUUCACCAUCAGUUACAGCAAAACUUUGUUAACCAUAGGUUACAUCCCAUAUGUCUGUAUAUAUACACAGAGAGAAAUUCUUGCAGGAUCCAAUUUGGACAGACCAUUACUCUCAUCUUGUGAGAGCGCGCUGCAUUCACAGGAUGGGUGAAAGAGAAUUACACAGUUGCAGAAAGCUUGCAAUUCCCUCUAGGAUUUCUGUAACCAUGGUAACAGAUAUAGAUAGCAGGCCUGAUUUCAACCCAUGUUUUAUUGUUCCAGCAGUAAAUAAUUAGAUUCUAUAAAUACUGGAAUAAAAUACUGGCCUUUUACUUCCCCAUUAAACAAAAAAUGCAGGUUAUAUAUUGCUACAGUUUAUACGAAUGUUUGUUAAAGUGCCAAGAUCAAUUCCAUAAUAAAACUACAUGGAAUGUCUUGCUUCAUAAGCCACAUAGCCACAGCGAAGAAGGGGACAACUAUUAGAUUUUAAUGAAUAGAAAAUAAAUAUGAAUGUGCUCAGCAAAACUUAAGCUUGAAAUUAAAAACAAAAGGCACCCCCCAUCAAAGUUUCACGUGUUUUAUUUAGGUGAACAUACACAUGGUCCACAUACUCAGUGAAAAUAGUCAUAAAAUAAUUUAAGAACUUACGUUGAAAGGUAUUAGCAGCACCAUCAGUAUUGGAAUAGCAGAAAAUUCAUGCCUCCACAGGGCAUAGUUAUGCCUGGAUAAAAAUGCCAUCAUUUAUAACAGGGGAUGGGAAUGGCUUUUAGGAUGCUUUGGGGAGUUGGGAGUUUUAAAACACACACUUUUUUGCUAAAUACUUUGACGAUUAACAUUACAAAAAAUACAACUAAAUAAGAUACUGCAUAGUAUUUUAAUUAACAUAAAGAAAUCGACAUUGAGCUGUGUCAAGCAAGACUGUGUAAAGCUUACACAAGAUCUCUGCUUCCACGUACAUUUCAUUUCUGAGUAGAGAAAUCUAAAAUUUAAAAACAAAAUAUAGACCUAGUGUAUUCUCUAAAAGACAUACUUUAGGUGGAACAUAUAGUACUACGAAAAUACAUAUCUUCCAUUCUGUUUAAUAAUUUACUUUAGUUAAAAAGUUGUGAAAUUCUCAUCACAAGAAGCGUAUACAAAUUCAUGACUUUAGUAAAUUAACAAAAAGGAUUAUUUUUUUUUUU